rnacentral:tRNA from 1 species
GAGAGUAUAAUUCAGUGGUAGAGUGUGUGCUUAGCAUACACAGGGUCCUGGGUUCAAUUCCCAGCAUCUCCA